rnacentral:misc_RNA from 1 species
GAGAGAGAGAGAGAGAGAGAAAUCUAAAUUGAAAGCAACUAGUAUCAGGAAAGGAAGAAAAUGAAAAUGACAAAUUAGAGAUAGAGAAACGUCCACGAAAAAGGGGAGUUAAAAAGAACACACCUUGUGAAUCCCCCGUGUGCCAAACCCUCCAAAAUCCAAGCUUCAUCAGCCUCCAAAGCCAAAAAUAAAUCUUUUAGAUUCUUGAUAAACUUAAUUCCCCUCUUAAAUCAUCUCUAGAUUAGAAAAAACCCGUUUUUUCAUUAAAAUGAAAUGAAAAGAAAAGAAACAAAACCCUCU